GUGCUCGCUUCGGCAGCACAUAUACUAAAAUUGGAACGGGACAGAGAAGAUUAGCUUGGCCCCUGCAAGGAUGACACGCAAAUUCGUGAAACAUUCCAUUUGUUU
rnacentral:snRNA from 1 species